AAUAGAUACCCAGGUAGUCCACCCCGUAAACGUUGGGACUAGUUGUGGGUCCAUUCCACGGAUUCCGUGGACGCGAGCUAACGCAUUAAGUUCCCCGCCUGGGGAGUACGGCCGCAAGGCUAAAACUCAAAGGAAUUGACGGGGACCCGCACAAGCGGCGGAGCAUGCGGAUUAAUUCGAUGCAACGCGAAGAACCUUACCAAGGCUUGACAUAUACGAGAACGGGCCAGAAAUGGUCAACUCUUUGGACACUCGUAAACAGGUGGUGCAUGGUUGUCGUCAGCUCGUGUCGUGAGAUGUUGGGUUAAGUCCCGCAACGAGCGCAACCCUCGUUCUAUGUUGCCAGCACGUAAUGGUGGGAACUCAUGGGAUACUGCCGGGGUCAACUCGGAGGAAGGUGGGGAUGACGUCAAAUCAUCAUGCCCCUUAUGUCUUGGGCUUCACGCAUGCUACAAUGGCCGGUACAAAGGGCUGCAAUACCGCGAGGUGGAGCGAAUCCCAAAAAAGCCGGUCCCAGUUCGGAUUGAGGUCUGCAACUCGA
rnacentral:rRNA from 1 species